GACGAACCGAGCGAACGUUGUUCGGAAUCACUGGGCUUAAAGGGUGCGUAGGCGGGCUGCCAAGUUUGGGGUGAAAUCCUCCGGCUCAACCGGGGAAGUGCCUCGAAUACUGGCGGUCUGGAGGGAGGUAGGGGCGUGCGGAACUAACGGUGGAGCGGUGAAAUGCGUUGAUAUCGUUAGGAACUCCGGUGGCGAAGGCGGCCUGCUGGACCCUCACUGACGCUGAGGCGCGAAAGCCAGGGGAGCGAACGGG
rnacentral:rRNA from 1 species